AGAGUUUGAUCAUGGCUCAGAUUGAACGCUGGCGGCACGCUUAACACAUGCAAGUCGAACGGCAGCAGCAUUGGGGUAACCUAAUGGCUGGCGAGUGGCGGACGGGUGAGUAAUACGUAGGAAUCUGCCUUAGAGAGGGGGAUAACUCGGGGAAACUCGAGCUAAGACCGCAUACGCUCUGUGAUGAGAGUUACGGAGGAAAGGAACCUUUCGGGGUUUUGCUCUAAGAUGAGCCUACGACGGAUUAGCUAGUUGGUGGGGUAAAGGCCUACCAAGGCGAUGAUCCGUAGCUGGUCUGAGAGGAUGGUCAGCCACACUGGGACUGAGACACGGCCCAGACUCCUACGGGAGGCAGCAGUGGGGAAUAUUGGACAAUGGGGGAAACCCUGAUCCAGCGAUGCCGCGUGUGUGAAGAAGGCCUGCGGGUUGUAAAGCACUUUAGUUGGUGAGGAAAGGUGUGCUUUUAAUAGAGGUGCAUUAUGACGUUAGCCAAAGAAUAAGCACCGGCAAACUCUGUGCCAGCAGCCGCGGUAAUACAGAGGGUGCAAGCGUUAAUCGGACUUACUGGGCGUAAAGGGUGCGUAGGCGGGAGCUUAAGUUAGUUGUGAAAGGCCUGGGCUUAACCUAGGAACUGCAAUUAAGACUGGGCAUCUAGAGUUGAGUAGAGGGGAGCGGAAUUUCCGGUGUAGCGGUGAAAUGCGUAGAUAUCGGAAGGAACACCUGUUGCGAAGGCGGCUCUCUGGACUCAAACUGACGCUGAGGCACGAAAGCGUGGGUAGCGAACAGGAUUAGAUACCCUAGUAGUCC
rnacentral:rRNA from 1 species